GCCAGCCCGCUCAGAAACUUAAAUAGAAGUUGACGGGGGCCCGCACAAGCGGAGGAACAUGUGGUUUAAUUCGAUGAUACGCGAGGAACCUUACCUGGGCUAGAACGCAAUCGGAAUCAGGCCGAAAGGUCUGCGCCAGCGAUGGCCGCUUGCGAGGUGCUGCAUGGUUGUCGUCAGCUCGUGCCGUGAGGUGUCGGGUUAAGUCCCAUAACGAGCGCAACCCCUACUGCUAGUUGCCAGCGGGUCAUGCCGGGGACUCUAGCGGAACUGCCAGCGUAAGCUGCGAGGAAGGUGGGGAUGACGUCAAAUCAGCACGGCCCUUACGUCCAGGGCUACACACGUGUUACAAUGGCCAGUACAGAGGGCAGCCACCCCGCGAGGGGGCGCUAAUCCUAAAAGCUGGUCCCAGUUCGGAUCGGAGUCUGCAACCCGACUCCGUGAAGCUGGAUUCGCUAGUAAUCGCGCAUCAGCCACGGCGCGGUGAAUACGUUCCCGGGCCUU
rnacentral:rRNA from 1 species